rnacentral:misc_RNA from 1 species
AAGUCGUAACAAGGUUACCGUUGGUGAACCAGCGGUAGGAUCAUUACCACAAAAAAUACCUUAUACAAAACAACCCCGCAAAGCGAAAAAUAAUUUUUGGUUUUUCUAACAGAAAAUCAAACGCUGUUUUUUUAGCUUUUUGUGAACAUAUAGACCCCGUUCUGUAUCUUUGAAAAAAGAUGCGAAUGGACAACCCACCUCGAGUUUUGCCUUGGGUUUUUUUAUUAUUAAGAAAUCCAAGGCAACGUGGGUAAUUUAAACCUUUUAAACCACAUUAAAAACCCUUUUUUUUUCUGAAAAACAACCAAUUGAAAUGAAUAAAAAAAAGCCUUAAAAACUUUCUUUUUGCAAACCUCUAUUGGCACACAAAACAAAAACAAAAAACAACUUUUAACGGUGGAUCUCUAGGCUCGU